UCUGGUCAAUGAGACCUAAGAGGAAGUCUACUGGAAGACAUCUGGGAAAGAUUUACCAUCCUGAAAAAAGACAUGAUCAUGACAUCUUGCAGAAAAGAGGAAGAGAGAAUUUCUAGGACAAAUGGCUUGUUUUUUACAUUAGAGAUGAACCAAAAGUUGCACACUUCACCUCUGCUCACAUCCCAUCCUUCUUAAUCAUAUAGCCACAACUUGCUUCAAGUGAGACUGAAAAUACAGUCCCUAAUGGGGGAAGAGGUGAUGACCAUGUGUACAGCCUAAGUUUUUUUUAAGAAAAAAAAAAAAAAGGGCCGGGUGUGGUAGCUCACACCUGUAAUCCCAGCACUUUGGGAGGCCGAGGCGGGCAGAUCACAAGGACAGGAGAUCGAGAUCAUCUUGGCUAACAUGGUGAAACCCUGCCUCUACUAAAAAUACACAAAAUUAGCUGGGCAUGGUGGCACGUGCCUGUAGUCCCAGCUACUCAGGAGGCUGAGGUAGGAGAAUAGCUUAAACUUGGGAGGAGGAGGUUGCAGUGAGGCAAGAUCGCACCACCGCACUCCAGCCUGGGUGACAGAAUGAGAUUCUGCCUCAAAAAAAAAAAAAGAAAAAAAUUAAAAAAGAAAAAAAGAGAAACAAAUUGGUUGGAGGCCUAUAAGUUUAUGCUACAAGGACUAAAGAUAGAACCAGAGGGAGCCUUGGACACCAUUGCAAUAACAUCCUAGUACAUGACAGUGUCUUGGACCAUAGUGGUAGGAAAGGAGAUGAGGAGAAGUGG
rnacentral:lncRNA from 10 species